GCCAGUAGCUGUAUCACCCUGUAGCUCAUAACUGUCAAACCACUGAAGCUCAGCAGGUGUGAGCCUGGUCAGUACCUAGAUGGGAGACCUCCUGAGAAAAACUAAGGUUGCUGCUGGAA
rnacentral:rRNA from 1 species